rnacentral:lncRNA from 1 species
AUUGAAGUGGGUAUUCUAAUUCAAGGAGCAGGUCUAGAAAACUGUUUUACAGUUCUAUCAGACACAUAAAAUACUUUUUAUGUUAUUGUUUUAACACUGAUCAGGAACACUGUGAAAUUAAGUAUCCUUACCACAAGAGCCAGCGAACUCAAGGCCAGGACCAGAGUGAAGUAAAUGAUUCACCGUGGUGCAGACCAGAAAGAGGCUCUUUCUUCACAUCGUGCAGGCUCGGGAUUAGCCUUCUUUGGUGUCUCCUUCCCUUCUCCAUCGGGGGAGCUUCCUGUGCCUCACUCCAGCUCAGCCAUUGAAAGAACUAUCCAGAUAUUACAGAUACAUCUUUCUGAUUGAACACUGACUGAUAAAGAAGUGAUAUUUGAGGACAGUUCCUACAAAGGUAAGAAAAUGUGAAAUCAUUUUCAAUUAUGUUUAGGGGACAAAGAUCUCGUAUAACAGUAAGGUGUUAGGACACUGGUGAUAUGGUACAAAGCAUUUUGAAUGACUGUUCAGAAUGUAGAGAUUUAAUUUAAGCAUAGCUUGA